rnacentral:tRNA from 1 species
UCAGAUGGCUGAGUGUAAGCGGCGGACUGUAGACCCACAAACGGGGGUUUAAUACCCUCUCUUUC